rnacentral:rRNA from 1 species
AUGCAGUCGCACGGACCCUUCGGGGUGAGUGGCGGACGGGUGAGUAUCGCGUAGGGAUCUAUCCACGGGUGGGGGAUAACAUCGGGAAACUGAUGCUAAUACCGCAUGAUACCUGAGGGUCAAAGGCGCAAGUCGCCUGUGGAGGAACCUGCGUUCGAUUAGCUUGUUGGUGGGGUAAAGGCCUACCAAGGCGAUGAUCGAUAGCUGGUCUGAGAGGAUGAUCAGCCACACUGGGACUGAGACACGGCCCAGACUCCUACGGGAGGCAGCAGUGGGGAAUAUUGGACAAUGGGCGAAAGCCUGAUCCAGCAAUGCCGCGUGUGUGAAGAAGGUCUUCGGAUUGUAAAGCACUUUCGACGGGGACGAUGAUGACGGUACCCGUAGAAGAAGCCCCGGCUAACUUCGUGCCAGCAGCCGCGGUAAUACGAAGGGGGCUAGCGUUGCUCGGAAUGACUGGGCGUAAAGGGCGCGUAGGCGGUUUACACAGUCAGAUGUGAAAUUCCAGGGCUUAACCUUGGGGCUGCAUUUGAUACGUGUAGACUAGAGUGUGAGAGAGGGUUGUGGAAUUCCCAGUGUAGAGGUGAAAUUCGUAGAUAUUGGGAAGAACACCGGUGGCGAAGGCGGCAACCUGGCUCAUUACUGACGCUGAGGCGCGAAAGCGUGGGGAGCAAACAGGAUUAGAUAC